rnacentral:rRNA from 1 species
UACGUAGGGUGCAAGCGUUAAUCGGAAUUACUGGGCGUAAAGCGUGCGCAGGCGGUUAUGCAAGACAGAUGUGAAAUCCCCGGGCUCAACCUGGGAACUGCAUUUGUGACUGCAUAGCUAGAGUGCGGCAGAGGGAGAUGGAAUUCCGCGUGUAGCAGUGAAAUGCGUAGGUAUGCGGAGGAACACCGAUGGCGAAGGCAAUCUCCUGGGCCUGCACUGACGCUCAUGCACGAAAGCGUGGGGAGCAAACAGG